AACGAACGCUGGCGGCAGGCCUAACACAUGCAAGUCGAACGCUCUAGCAAUACGGAGUGGCGCACGGGUGAGUAACGCGUAGGAAUCUACCCAUUAGCCUGGGAUAACAGCGGGAAACUGCUGCUAAUACCGGAUACGCCCUUCGGGGAAAGGUUUACUACUAAUGGAUGAGCCUGCGUUAGAUUAGCUAGUUGGUGAGGUAAUGGCUCCCCAAGGCUCCGAUCUAUAGCCGGUCUGAGAGGACGAUCGGCCACACUGGGACUGAGACACGGCCCAGACUCCUACGGGAGGCAGCAGUGGGGAAGAUUGGGCAAUGGAGGCAACUCUGACCCAGCCAUGCCGCGUGAGUGAUGAAGGCCUUAGGGUUGUAAAGCUCUUUUAGUAGUGAAGAUGAUGACAGUAGCUACAGAAAAAGCCCCGGCUAACUACGUGCCAGCCGCCGCAGUAA
rnacentral:rRNA from 1 species